rnacentral:rRNA from 1 species
AACGAACGCUGGCGGCAGGCCUAACACAUGCAAGUCGAACGCUCCGCAAGGGGAGUGGCGCACGGGUGAGUAACACGUGGGAACCUACCUUCUGGUACGGAACAACCAAGGGAAACUCUGGCUGAUACCGUAUACGACCUCCGGGUGAAAGAUUGAUCGCCGGAAGAGGGGCCCGCGUCCGAUUAGGUAGUUGGUGAGGUAACGGCUCACCAAGCCUGCGAUCGGUAGCUGGUCUGAGAGGAUGACCAGCCACACUGGGACUGAGACACGGCCCAGACUCCUACGGGAGGCAGCAGUGGGAAUAUUGGACAAUGGGCGCAAGCCUGAUCCAGCCAUGCCGCGUGAGUGAUGAA